rnacentral:lncRNA from 1 species
AAGAGACGACCUGUCACUCAGGUUGGAGUGCCAUGGUGCAAUCAUAGUUCACUGCAGCCUCGACCUCUCAGGCUCAAGCAAUCAUCUUGCCUCAGCAUCCUGAGUAGCUGGGACUACAGGAGGUGUCCCCAUGCAAUAAAGAAAAUAAGAAUUGGAUUAGUAGCAGCCAUCUGUGCAGGGGAGACUGAGCUCCGCAACUCUGUGUCCAUGAGGCUUGGCUGGUGAGUGCCAGUGCCUCCACACCCCCAAGUAGGCACUGAGCAGUAACGUGGGGGAAGGGCUACACCUUUCUCUGUGGGCAGCCCUGGGAUGGGCAAUGUCAUGCCAGCAAAGCUGGCAGAUGGUGGGAUCCUGUACACUGGGUGUGCUGGGAGCAACCUGGCUAUCACCCCUGGGAAUGGGCCAUACCAUUGGGCCAACAAUCUGGGGCUUUACACCAGACUUGCUAGGGACCUGUCAGGAGGAGUAACAGACCGGGUUUAUGUCCCCUAAGGGAUCUCUGGUACCAUCGUAGGAGUCAGUGCUCAUGAAAAACAAAAGAAAAUGUGGCACAUAUACACCAUGGAAUACUAUGCAGCCAUAAAAAAUGAUGAGUUCAU